rnacentral:rRNA from 1 species
GAUGAACGCUGGCGGCGUGCCUAAUACAUGCAAGUCGAGCGAACAGACGAGGAGCUUGCUCCUCUGACGUUAGCGGCGGACGGGUGAGUAACACGUGGAUAACCUACCUAUAAGACUGGGAUAACUUCGGGAAACCGGAGCUAAUACCGGAUAAUAUAUUGAACCGCAUGGUUCAAUAGUGAAAGACGGUUUUGCUGUCACUUAUAGAUGGAUCCGCGCCGCAUUAGCUAGUUGGUAAGGUAACGGCUUACCAAGGCAACGAUGCGUAGCCGACCUGAGAGGGUGAUCGGCCACACGGGAACUGAGACACGGUCCAGACUCCUACGGGAGGCAGCAGUAGGGAAUCUUCCGCAAUGGGCGAAAGCUUGACGGAGCAACGCCGCGUGAGUGAUGAAGGUCUUCGGAUCGUAAAACUCUGUUAUUAGGGAAGAACAAAUGUGUAAGUAACUAUGCACGUCUUGACGGUACCUAAUCAGAAAGCCACGGCUAACUACGU